rnacentral:sRNA from 1 species
GCUGGGCAUGGUGGCACAUGCCUGUAUUUCCGGCUACUUGGGAGGCUGAUGCCGGAGGAUCACUUGAGCCCAGGAGUUUGAGGCUGCAGUGAGCUAGGAUCACACCACUGCACUUUAGCCUGGGCAACAGAGUGAGACCCCUUCUCUU